UACAGAGGUGCCAAGCGUUAGGCGGAAUCACUGGGCUUAAAGCGUGUGUAGGCGGAUUCCUAAGUACCUUGUGAAAUCCCACGGCUCAACCGUGGAACUGCUCGGUAUACUGGGUGUCUUGAGCCACGUAGGGGCGACCGGAACAAAUGGUGGAGCGGUGAAAUGCGCAGAUAUCAUUUGGAACGCCAAUGGUGAAAACAGGUCGCUGGGAGUGUGCUGACGCUGAGACACGAAAGCCAGGGGAGCAAACGGG
rnacentral:rRNA from 1 species